rnacentral:lncRNA from 1 species
GUUUUCACCUCUCCUGCCUUUCAAAAGUGCAAUGUUCUGAAAAUGCGUAGCCUUCUCAAAGACUAACAGAUUGACUAAUGGGUCUAUAAAAACACUUCCCAGAAAGAACAGGCUAGAAACCAAUGAAGCAUGGCUAAUCUGAUCUAUUACAAGUACGGAAGACUAUCUACAGUAGGUCAUUAAGCAGCCAAUGAUGUAAAUACAAACUCUAUUAAUAGGAAAUGUGCCACUUUGUUUUGCAGGAUGCAGCAGGCGGAUGAUCACCAGCGGCCUGUCGGAAGUGCUCUGGAGCAACUGCGCUGUGCGUGCAGGGAGAGACCUGGUGGAGAGACCGCGAAAAGGCUUCACUGAGAAAGGAUGGCAAUGCUCAAGCCAGUGUGGAUGGCUUUCUGUAUCCUGGGAAGGUGCUGGCAACUCCCCAGAGCUGGAAAGACUGGGCCAUGAACAGGGCUGUCAACUCCAGCCCUGUCAUGGCCCUGUCAACUCCAGGUCACCCCCAAGGCCUGCGGCCAAAAUGCUUGGAAGAAGAAAAGCCAGAAACACAUGGAAAGCUCCAGAAGCAGCAGAUUGGCCUCUUACCCUGGGCUGACUCCACUCUGGAAAACCAGUCUGUUUUCAGGCUGCUGAUAAAGACAUACCUGAGACUGGGAAAUCUGCAGAAGAAAGAGGCUUAUUGGAUUUACAGUUCCACAUGGCUGGGGAGGCUUCACAAUCACGGUGGAAGGCAAGGAGGAGCAAGUCACAUCUUAUGUGGACAGCAGCAGGUAAAAAUAGAGAGCUUGUGCAGAAAAACUCCCAUUUUAAAAAUCAUCAGAUCUUGUGAAACUCAUUUUACUAUCAUGAGAACAGCUCAAGAAAGACCUGCUCUCAUAAUUCAACCACCUCCCACUGGGUUCCUCCAUGACACAUGGGAAUUUUGGGAGCUACAGUUUGAGAUGAGACUUUGGUGGGGACACAGCCAAACCAUUAUCAAUGGAUAAUUUAUCAUCUUUGUGUUCCUGAUUCUGCAGAGAGGAUGGAUCUCGGUCCUCAAACCCAAGGCACCAAAACCUCAACCUUGUUUUCCUUUUAUAUUCUAACCCUUACUUGAUGGUGGGGUUAAUUAAUUAAACAUAAGCACAACGAAUUCAGAGUUUCCUCUGGCACUUCAGGGUCUCUCUGGUGGUGUCAAAAUUCAAG